rnacentral:rRNA from 1 species
AGAGUUUGAUCAUGGCUCAGAAUCAACGCUGGCGGCGUGCCUAACACAUGCAAGUCGAACGAGAAAGUGGUAGCAAUACCAUGAGUAAAGUGGCGCACGGGUGAGUAACACGUGACUAACCUACCCUGGAGUGGGGGAUAACUGAGGGAAACCUUAGCUAAUACCGCAUAAUACCCACGGGUCAAAGGAGCAAUUCGCUCUGGGAGGGGGUCGCGGCCGAUUAGUUAGUUGGCGGGGUAACGGCCCACCAAGACGAUGAUCGGUAUCCGGCCUGAGAGGGCGCACGGACACACUGGAACUGAAACACGGUCCAGACUCCUACGGGAGGCAGCAGUGGGGAAUUUUGCGCAAUGGGGGAAACCCUGACGCAGCAACGCCGCGUGGAGGAUGAAGUCCUUCGGGACGUAAACUCCUUUCGAUCGGGACGAUUAUGACGGUACCGGAAGAAGAAGCCCCGGCUAACUUCGUGCCAGCAGCCGCGGUAAUACGAGGGGGGCGAGCGUUGUUCGGAAUUAUUGGGCGUAAAGGGUGCGUAGGCGGUUUUGUAAGUCUUAUGUGAAAUCUAUGGGCUCAACUCAUAGACUGCAUGAGAAACUGCAGGGCUCGAGUGUGGGAGAGGUGAGUGGAAUUUCCGGUGUAGCGGUGAAAUGCGUAGAUAUCGGAAGGAACACCUGUGGCGAAAGCGGCUCACUGGACCACAACUGACGCUGAUGCACGAAAGCUAGGGGAGCAAACAGGAUUAGAUACCCUGG